CAGCAUGUUCUUGGCUGCUCUAGUGUCCAGUGAGCUCUGUGAGAGAUAACACUCCCAUACACUUUAAACCUGGGUGAAGCAGAACUCAGAGAAGGAUGAUUUUAGGACAGUGUAUUUUAUUGCUACUCAUUUCAUAUUCUUAUGGACAGUCACUGACCUCCUCUGAUUCUGUGGUGAAGAGACCUGGAGAGUCGGUCACUCUGUCUUGUACUGUCUCCGGUUUCUCAAUGGGCAGCUACAACAUGCACUGGAUCCGUCAGAAACCAGGACAAGGACUGGAGUGGAUCGGGCGCAUUGAUGGUGGCACUGGCACUGCAUUCGCUCAGUCUCUACAAGGCCAGUUCUCCAUCAAUAAAGACACCAAUAAAAACUUGCUGUACCUAGAAGUGAAGAGUCUGAAAGCUGAAGACACGGCAGUUUAUUACUGUGCACGAGAGUCACACUGACACAACAGACUCCAGAGCUGUACAAAAACUUACACAAGCACGUCCUCAUGAGCUGUAAAUAUUCCCUCAGCAAGAAGCUGCACCCCAGAGACCUUUAUUAUAAACAACAUCAUCUAUUCACACUCAGCA